rnacentral:rRNA from 1 species
ACGAACGCUGGCGGCGUGCCUAAUACAUGCAAGUAGAACGCUGAAGGAGGAGCUUGCUUCUCUGGAUGAGUUGCGAACGGGUGAGUAACGCGUAGGUAACCUGCCUGGUGGCGGGGGAUAACUAUUGGAAACGAUAGCUAAUACCGCAUAACAGUAGAUAUCGCAUGAUAUCUACUUGAAAGGUGCAAUUGCAUCACUACCAGAUGGACCUGCGUUGUAUUAGCUAGUUGGUGAGGUAACGGCUCACCAAGGCGACGAUACAUAGCCGACCUGAGAGGGUGAUCGGCCACACUGGGACUGAGACACGGCCCAGACUCCUACGGGAGGCAGCAGUAGGGAAUCUUCGGCAAUGGACGGAAGUCUGACCGAGCAACGCCGCGUGAGUGAAGAAGGUUUUCGGAUCGUAAAGCUCUGUUGUAAGAGAAGAACGAGUGUGAGAGUGGAAAGUUCACACUGUGACGGUAUCUUACCAGAAAGGGACGGCUAACUACGUG